rnacentral:misc_RNA from 1 species
GAUGAAGAACGCAGCGAAAUGCGAUAAGUAAUGUGAAUUGCAGAAUUCAGUGAAUCAUCGAAUCUUUGAACGCACAUUGCGCCCGCCAGUAUUCUGGCGGGCAUGCCUGUUCGAGCGUCAUUUCAACCCUCAAGACCCCUUCGGGGGACUUGGUGUUGGGGACCGGCACAGGGGCCUGCCUGCUUGUCUUGCAGCGCCCUCGCCGCCCCCGAAAUGAAUUGGCGGCCUCGUCGCGGCCUCCCCUGCGUAGUAGCACAAACCUCGCAACGGGAACGUGACGGCGGCCACUGCCGUAAAACAACCCAAUUUUAUUAGAGUUGACCUCGAAUCAGGUAGGAAUACCCGCUGAACUUAAGCAUAUCAAUAAGCGGAGGA